rnacentral:misc_RNA from 1 species
CUCUGCAACACACGCCCCUAAGAUAAUAACAUGGCACACCACACGACGCCACCUGCAGGCGCAUCUUAGCAUUCUCAGACCCUUUUCCCAUCCAUCAUCCAUGGAUCCUAACCUCAAAAAUCUCACAAAACCCAUCUCUAGACACGCAACCAGCAAAAACCCAGAUCAUACAAUUCCUUCUAAACAUUUCCACAUGUCAAACCCCUUGUCAAAAUUCAACCCAAAUCGUAAACUCAGUACAUUUACCCAGAAACCUGCCAAGAAUCCACUACCGCCUUGUGUAGACACCCAUUUGCAAGCUAAAUCCAUGAGUCUUUCAGCUGAUUUUGAUGGCUCCAGGCUUUCAAUCUUCAAGCCAAAGCACCAAUACCAAAAAAGAAUCGAAUCAAUUGGGGAAAAAGAUAGCAGAGUCGCUGCAACAAAGGAAGAUUCUAAAGACAAGGUCAAGAAAGUAUCAUCUAAAGGGUUGGUGGACAAGAAGAAAGGACAGGAAAUGCUAGUGAUUGAAAAAAAGAAGGAAAUACAUGCCACAGUGAAGGAUAAUAAGGAAGUUAAGGAUCCAGUUGAAGGGCUUGAUAUUAAGAGGAUGACAUUUUCAUUACGUGGUGGCAGAAGAAGAUCCUUCGGUGGCUCACAAAUGGAGUUGGCUGAUUUUCUAGCUCAUAAU